rnacentral:rRNA from 1 species
CAGCAGCCACGGGAAUACGUAGGGUGCGAGCGUUAAUCGGAAUUACUGGGCGUAAAGCGUGCGCAGGCGGUUGUGUAAGACAGGUGUGAAAUCCCCGGGCUUAACCUGGGAACUGCGCUUGUGACUGCACAGCUAGAGUAUGGCAGAGGGGGGUGGAAUUCCACGUGUAGCAGUGAAAUGCGUAGAGAUGUGGAGGAACACCGAUGGCGAAGGCAGCCCCCUGGGCCAAUACUGACGCUCAUGCACGAAAGCGUGGGGAGCAAACAGGAUUAGAUAUCCGCGUAGUCCCUGUCUCUUAUAC